rnacentral:rRNA from 1 species
UACGUAGGUGGCAAGCGUUGUCCGGAUUUACUGGGCGUAAAGGGAGCGUAGGCGGAUAUUUAAGUGGGAUGUGAAAUACCUGGGCUUAACUUGGGUGCUGCAUUCCAAACUGGAUAUCUGGAGUGUUGGAGAGGAAAGUGGAAUUCCUAGUGUAGCGGUGAAAUGCGUAGAGAUUAGGAAGAACACCAGUGGCGAAGGCGACUUUCUGGACAAUAACUGACGCUGAGGCUCGAAAGCGUGGGGAGCAAAC